rnacentral:lncRNA from 1 species
CAAUAACAUGUUUGAAUGACCACACCCACAAAAAACAGUGAUCCUACCCCUAAAGUUUAACACAUCCAUCAUCCAUCAUCCAUCUAUUUACCAUCCAUCCAUCAUCCAUCAUCCAUCCAUCAUCCAUCCAUCAUCCAUCAUCUAUCAUCCAUCAUCCAUCCAUCAUCCAUUUAUCAUCCAUCAUCCAUCCAUCAUCCAUCCAUCAUCCAUCAUCUAUCACCCAUCAUCCAUCCAUCAUCCAUCCAUCAUCCAUCAUCUAUCAUCCAUCCAUCAUCCAUUUAUCAUCCAUCAUCCAUCCAUCAUCCAUCAUCCAUCCAUCAUCCAUCAUCCAUCCAUCAUCUAUCAUCCAUCAUCUAUUCAUCAUCCAUCAUCUAUCAUCCAUCCAUCAUCUAUUCUCCAUCAUCCAUUCAUCAUCCAUCAUUCCUUCAUCCAUCAUCCAUCAUCCAUAUCCGUCCAUCCAUCAUCCAUCAUCAUCCAUCCAUCCAUCCAUCACCAUCAUCCAUCAUCCAUCAUCUAUCAUCCAUCAUCCAUUUAUCAUCCAUCAUCCAUCAUCCAUCAUCCAUCCAUCAUCUAUCAUCCAUCAUCCAUUCAUCAUCCAUCCAUCAUCCAUCAUCCAUUUAACAUCCAUCAUCCAUCCAUCAUCUAUCAUCCAUCAUCCAUUCAUCAUCCAUCCAUCAUCCAUCAUCCAUCCAUCCAUCAUCCAUCCAUCGUCCAUCCAUCCUUCAUCCAUCCAUCAUCCAUCAUCCAUCAUCCAUCAUCCAUUUAUCAUCCAUCAUCCAUCCAUCAUCCAUCCAUCAUCCAUCAUCCAUCCAUCAUCCAUCAUCCAUCCAUCCAUCCAUCCAUCCUUCAUCCAUCCAUCCAUCCAUCCUUCAUCCAUCCAUCAUCCAUCAUCCAUCCAUCCAUCCAUCCAUCAUCCAUCUAUCAUCUAUCCAUCCAUCCAUCAUCCAUCCAUUCAUCAUCCAUCCAUCCAUCAUCUAUCAUCUAUCAUCCAUCAUCCAUCCAUCCAUUUAUCAUCCAUCAUCCAUCAUCCAUGCAUCAUCCAUCAUCCAUCCAUCAUCCAUCAUCCAUCAUCCAUCCAUCGUCCAUCCAUCAUCCAUCAUCCAUCCAUCAUCCAUCCAUCAUCCAUCAUCAUCCAUCAUCCAUCAUCCAUCCAUCAUCCAUCAUCCAUCCAUCAUCCAUUCAUCAUCCAUCCAUCCAUCAUCCAUCAUCCAUCCAUCAUCCAUCCAUCAUCCAUCCAUCAUCC